UUUGAUGUUGAGGACGUUGCAGCCUGGCCUUGAUUAUGACCUCUAUAAUAAGUCAAGUUCCAUUUGACCAAGGAAAACCCCAUUCCACGCCUCCUCCAUAGCGGCCAUGCUCGGGUCUCGCUCUGAGUCUGGGACGCCGUGCUUGGAGUGGAUGGAGCUGGUCGUGGAUGCGAACGACGGCACUGAAGGGGGCGACCUAGACAUGCUCGGCGAGGAGCUCCUCCAAUCCCAUCUUGAGCUCAAGGGAUAUGUUGUCGACGAUGACGCCCAUCAAAAGGAACCUGCCGAAGCUGAGAAGCAAGAGGCCAAUGGCUGCCACACGCUGCCGUGUCCGUCGAUGCAAGCGGACAGCUCAGCAGUGAAGUGAAGCUGCAAGCCGCCGUAUGCUGCUGCGGGAGGGGCAUGAAUUGAGCGUAUGAUGGCAACCUACAAGCUUCUUAUUGUUGGUUCUUGGUUCAGUUAGAGUCGAUGAAGUGGCUACUCUAGCAAUGAUACUAAUGCGGAGGCAGGGUCUGAUGUCAGAGAAGCACAAAACAUUCUCUUAGAAAGAUUCACCAGUGAGUUGAACCUCCUCAAAUCCUACGCCCGCCGUUCCAGCAUUUUUUCUGCUCCGUCACCACCAAUGUCAUCAAGUGUUGGACACGGUUUCUCGAGUUUGUUGCGAUACAAUGUCGAUUGUCACAAAUCCGAGGACAGGAAGAUAUAGUGCAGAUGCAACAGAAGGUGAUUUUGCUAGAAAUUGCACGACAUUGUAGGCAUGCAGCAGCUACUGUUGGUGAUAUCGGAUUCCAGAACCUUCUUCUGCUCUGUCACCAUCUCCGUC